UUACGCCCAUAUCACGUUGAAACAUCGGUUCCUGUAUGAGCACCGAAAUUAAGCAGUUUCGAGCUUGGUCAGUACCUAGAUGGGUGACCGAUUGGGAAUACCAGGUGAUGCCAG